rnacentral:rRNA from 1 species
GUGGGGAAUCUUAGACAAUGGGCGCAAGCCUGAUCUAGCCAUGCCGCGUGAGCGAUGAAGGCCUUAGGGUUGUAAAGCUCUUUCGUGGGGGAAGAUAAUGACUGUACCCCAAGAAGAAGCCCCGGCUAACUCCGUGCCAGCAGCCGCGGUAAUACGGAGGGGGCUAGCGUUGUUCGGAAUUACUGGGCGUAAAGCGCACGUAGGCGGACUGGAAAGUCAGGGGUGAAAUCCCGGGGCUCAACCCCGGAACUGCCUUUGAAGCUCCCAGUCUUGAGUUCGAGAGAGGUGAGUGGAAUUCCGAGUGUAGAGGGGAAAUUCGUAGAUAUUCGGAGGAACACCAGUGGCGAAGGCGGCUCACUGGCUCGAUACUGACGCUGAGGUGCGAAAGCGUGGGGAGCAAACAGGAUUAGAUACCCUAGUAGUCC